AUGAACGCUGGCGGCGUGCUUAACACAUGCCAGUCGAACGAGAAGUGAAGACGGAAACCUUCGGGCGGAAGGCUUUAUUUCGAGUGGCGGACGGGUGAGUAACGCGUGGGUAACCUGCCUCAUACAGGGGGAUAACAGUUGGAAACGACUGUUAAUACCGCAUAAGACCACAGCACCGCAUGGUGCGGGGGUAAAAACUCCGGUGGUAUGAGAUGGACCCGCGUUCGAUUAGCCAGUUGGCGGGGUAACGGCCCACCAAAGCGACGAUCGAUAGCCGAUCUGAGAGGAUGACCGGCCACAUUGGGACUGAGACACGGCCCAAACUCCUACGGGAGGCAGCAGUGGGGAAUAUUGCACAAUGGGGGAAACCCUGAUGCAGCGACGCCGCGUGAGUGAAGAAGUAUUUCGGUAUGUAAAGCUCUAUCAGCAGGGAAGAAAAUGACGGUACCUGAGUAAGAAGCCCCGGCUAACUACGUG
rnacentral:rRNA from 1 species